UACGUAGGGUGCGAGCGUUGUCCGGAAUUAUUGGGCGUAAAGAGCUCGUAGGCGGUUUGUCGCGUCGACUGUGAAAACCUACAGCUUAACUGUGGGCUUGCAGUCGAUACGGGCAGACUUGAGUUCGGUAGGGGAGACUGGAAUUCCUGGUGUAGCGGUGAAAUGCGCAGAUAUCAGGAGGAACACCUGUGGUGUAGACAGCUUGCUGGACCAUCACUGACGCUGAGGCACGAAAGCGUGGGUAGCAAACAGG
rnacentral:rRNA from 1 species